rnacentral:misc_RNA from 1 species
UACAGAGACUGCAAGCGUUAUUCGGAUUCACUGGGCGUAAAGGGUGCGCAGGCGGCCAGGCGUGUCAGGUGUGAAAGCCCGAGGCUCAACCUCGGAAUUGCGCCUGAAACUGUCUGGCUAGAGUGUCGGAGAGGGAAGCGGAAUUCACGGUGUAGCAGUGAAAUGCGUAGAUAUCGUGAGGAACACCAGAGGCGAAGGCGGCUUCCUGGACGACAACUGACGCUCAGGCACGAAAGCGUGGGGAGCGAAAGGG